rnacentral:lncRNA from 1 species
GUGAUGCUGGCGCCGGGGAGCUGGGCAGCGGCAGGCGAGCAGCAGCAUCUUCGGGACCCCGGCUGCAGCGUCCCCGUGGCCCUCGGGCCAGCGGAGCAGCUGGAGACCACGCGCCUAGCGGAUCUACUGGAGGCACUUCAAAAAUUACUCAAUCAAAGGGUGGAGGGAUUCAGUGCUUUACCCUGAUAGGACUGCAGAAGUUUUCAUCAUAAGGUAACAAAUGAUUCCUGUCUUUGGUAUGAAACUGUAAUAUACUAAUAGACAAUAUUAUCAGAAAUACUAAUUGUACUUUGAAUUUGUUUAUAGCCCUGUAGCAUUUCAUGAUUUGUAUCUCCCAUGUGAAGUAUGUUCAAAAGUAAUGGCUCAGCAUAUGUUAUCCUUACAUUUGAAGUCAGGUGAUUCAUAGCAGCCAGGAUAAUUGCAAAGCACCAAUCUGGCC